GGGGAAUAUUGCACAAUGGGCGAAAGCCUGAUGCAGCAACGCCGCGUGAAGGAUGAAGGGUUUCGGCUCGUAAACUUCUAUCAAUAGGGACGAAAAAAAUGACGGUACCUAAAUAAGAAGCCCCGGCUAACUAUGUGCCAGCAGCCGCGGUAAUACGUAGGUGGCAAGCGUUGUCCGGAAUUAUUGGGCGUAAAGGGUGCGUAGGUGGCUCUUUAAGUGGGAUGUGAAAGCCCUUGGCUUAACCAAGGAUGUGCAUUCCAAACUGGAGAGCUAGAGUGCAGGAGAGGAAAGUGGAAUUCCUAGUGUAGCGGUGAAAUGCGUAGAGAUUAGGAGGAACACCAGUGGCGAAGGCGACUUUCUGGACUGUAACUGACACUGAGGCACGAAAGCGUGGGUAGCAAAC
rnacentral:rRNA from 1 species